CGUCGCUCGGUCGGGGACUCGGGCUGCAGCCUUUCUAGCAGUUAACUUCUUGAAUGUUGGGGCCUGCGCAGAAUACAAUGAUUGAGUCAGCUUGAGCCAGCAUCACUGAGGAGGCUCCUGCUCUGGAGGAGCUUCUCGCUAAUGCACCUGGGAAGGCAGAAGGUAAUGGCCAAGUACUUGCAUUUCUGCUACCCAUGUCGGAGAUCUGGAUGGAGUUCUGGACCUUUGGGGAGUAAACCAGCAGAUGGAAGAUCUCCAUCUCUUUCUCUUCCCCCUCCCCCUCUCUCUCUGUCUUCAAAUAAAUAAAGGAAAAUAAAGA